rnacentral:tRNA from 1 species
GCCUGGGUGAUUCAGUCGGUUGAGCAUCUGACUUCAGCUCAGGUCAUGAUCUCACGGUCUGUGGGUUCAAGCCCCACGUCAGGCU